ensembl:lncRNA
AGCAACCAACUGUGAGCAAGGGUUAGUGAGGCAAUGCAAUCAACAGUCAGGGAGUGGUGGUUGUCAGCCAGAGAGUGAGGAAGCAUCUACUGAGAACCUGGUUAAACUCCACAAAAGCGGGAAUCACUUCUAUGCCUGGGUUCUCCUGGAGUUUUAAUUGUCAGUCUUCUCCACACGGAGUUUCCAGUAAUUUGUCAAUUACAGUUUAGGUGUUCCCACCACAGCACUGGUUUCCAUGGUGUUUUCACUCCUGGGCCUCUGUUCAGAGUAUCUCAAAUAGGCUUCUCAGAGGAUGGAAAGUUUCCUUAGGAGAUACAGGUGAGUCGAAGAAGGACAUUAGUAGCUAGAAG